rnacentral:piRNA from 1 species
UGAUAGUUUGAAGGUGCAGUCUUUUACGGC